rnacentral:rRNA from 1 species
GAGCGGGCUGGAACCUCUCGGGGUUACAGCCUUGCUGAAUUAUUCACCCUUGUCUUUUGCGUACUUCUUGUUUCCUUGGUGGGUUCGCCCACCACUAGGACAAACAUAAACCUUUUGUAAUUGCAAUCAGCGUCAGUAACAAAUUAAUAAUUACAACUUUCAACAACGGAUCUCUUGGUUCUGGCAUCGAUGAAGAACGCAGCGAAAUGCGAUAAGUAGUGUGAAUUGCAGAAUUCAGUGAAUCAUCGAAUCUUUGAACGCACAUUGCGCCCUUUGGUAUUCCAAAGGGCAUGCCUGUUCGAGCGUCAUUUGUACCCUCAAGCUUUGCUUGGUGUUGGGCGUCUUGUCUCUAGCUUUGCUGGAGACUCGCCUUAAAGUAAUUGGCAGCCGGCCUACUGGUUUCGGAGCGCAGCACAAGUCGCACUCUCUAUCAGCAAAGGUCUAGCAUCCAUUAAGCCUUUUUUUCAACUUUUGACCUCGGAUCAGGUAGGGAUACCCGCUGAACUUAAGCAUAUCAAA